AUGAACGCUGGCGGCAUGCCUAACACAUGCAAGUCGAUCGGUAAGGCUCUUCGGAGUACACGAGAGGCGGACGGCUGAGUAACGCGUAGGAACACACCCUGCAGUGAGGGAUAAGACACCGAAAGGUGUUCUAAUACCGCAUACGGUCUUCGGAUUAAAGCAUUUAUGCGCUGAAGGAGUGGCCUGCGUCAUAUUAGAUAGUUGGUGAGGUAAUGGCUCACCAAGUCGAUGAUGUGUAGCUGGUCUGAGAGGAUGAUCAGCCAGACUGGAACUGAGACACGGUCCAGACUCCUACGGGAGGCAGCAGUGAGGAAUAUUUCACAAUGAGCGAAAGCUUGAUGGAGCAAUGCCGCGUGCAGGAUGAAGGCCCUCGGGUUGUAAACUGCUUUUAUAAGAGAAGAUUAUGACGGUAACUUAUGAAUAAGGGACGGCUAACUACGU
rnacentral:rRNA from 1 species